UACGUAGGGGGCAAGCGUUGUCCGGAAUUAUUGGGCGUAAAGAGCGUGUAGGCGGUCCGGUAAGUCCGCUGUGAAAGUCCAGGGCUCAACCCUGGAAUGCCGGUGGAUACUGCCGGGCUAGAGUCCGGAAGAGGCGAGUGGAACUCCUGGUGUAGCGGUGGAAUGCGCAGAUAUCAGGAAGAACACCAACGGCGAAGGCAGCUCGCUGGGACGGUACUGACGCUGAGACGCGAAAGCGUGGGGAGCGAACAGG
rnacentral:rRNA from 1 species